rnacentral:rRNA from 1 species
UACGGGGGGAGCAAGCGUUGUUCGGAUUUACUGGGCGUAAAGGGCGCGUAGGCGGCGUAACAAGUCACUUGUGAAAUCUCCGGGCUUAACUCGGAGCGGUCAAGUGAUACUGUUGUGCUAGAGUGCGGAAGGGGCUACUGGAAUUCUCGGUGUAGCGGUGAAAUGCGCAGAUAUCAGGAAGAACACCAAUGGCGAAGGCAGCUCUCUGGGACGGUACUGACACUGAGACGCGAAAAGCGUGGGGGAGCGAACAGG